rnacentral:rRNA from 1 species
UACGGAGGGAGCUAGCGUUGUUCGGAUAUACUGGGCGUAAAGAGCUCGUAGGUGGUUUGUCGCGUUGUUCGUGAAAACUCACAGCUUAACUGUGGGCGUGCGGGCGAUACGGGCAGACUGGAGUACUGCAGGGGAGACUGGAAUUCCUGGUGUAGCGGUGGAAUGCGCAGAUAUCAGGAGGAACACCGGUGGCGAAGGCGGGUCUCUGGGCAGUAACUGACGCUGAGGAGCGAAAGCGUGGGGAGCGAACAGG